rnacentral:lncRNA from 1 species
AUGAAAGGUUUUGUAACCUCUCCCAUCAAUGAUGAAAACUCAAGGGUUAUGAAACUCUCAUGAGUUAUGGGGUGACUUUUGGGCUUAUGGCUCAUUAUGAGGGUGAGUUAAUGUGUCUCAUAAUGAGAGAGUUAGUGUGUGUCUAGGUUCAUUAUAUUUAGGAGCUUAUAAGUAGUGGGGUUUUGGUUAAGGUCAAAACACACAAGAGAGAGUGUGUAUAUGAGUUGUAAUUCUCAUUUUCUAAGUAGUGUAGUACUUAGCUUUUUGAGAGAACCUCUGCCUCUUUCUCUUUGUCAUUUUCCUUUGUAUACUUAGUCAUAGGAUGCGAAGGUCCGG